UGUUUGAGCGGGUGAAAUUCUCAUUAGAUGUAAUUAUUCCCGCCAGCUUUAUUUUCCUUCACAAAAGUCACACCUUUCCAUCUUUUUCGUUCACUCGAUAUAAACCUCCUUCACUGUGCCGACUGUCCCACAUACAAAGUAGCAACUUUUAUUCACCUUCUCUUCCCCAAGUUUGUACGUUUACAACUUUAAACCAUCUUCACUCCACAAAACAACCAAAAUAUGGAAAGAACAAGAGGAUCAGACAAGAAAGCCACCAAACCUGUUGAAGAAGACUUAUAUUCUGCAACUACAGUUCGUGAAUCGAAAUCAUCCAUUCCAACAGAGAAAACGGAGUCGGUGAUCUUUUUAACGAAAGCAUCGUAGGACCAAUUUCAAGAUAACAUUUUGAAGCGUAACCUCCAUCCAAAACAGGGCAUUCUCCUUUCGUAACAGCAAGACUUG
rnacentral:lncRNA from 1 species